rnacentral:rRNA from 1 species
CCCGCUGAACUUAAGCAUAUCAAUAAGCGGAGGAAAAGAAACUAACAAGGAUUCCCUUAGUAACGGCGAGUGAAGAGGGAAGAGCUCAAAUUUUGAAUCGGACAUCUUUGGUGUUCGAGUUGUAAUCUAGAGAAGUGUUUUCCGUGAUGGACCAUGCAUAAGUCUCCUGGAAUGGAGUGUCAAAGAGGGUGAGAAUCCCGUUUAUGGCAUGGACUCCCAUUGCUCUGUGAUACACUCUCAACGAGUCGAGUUGUUUGGGAUUGCAGCUCCAAAUGGGUGGUAAAUGCCAUCUAAAGCUAAAUAUUGGCGAGAGACCGAUAGCAAACAAGUACCGUGAGGGAAAGAUGAAAAGCACUUUGGAAAGGGAGUGAAACAGUACGUGAAAUUGUUGAAAGGGAAACGCUUGAAGUCAGUCACACCGUUCAGGAUUCAGCCUUGCUUCUGCUUGGUUUACUUCCUGUUGGGUGGGUCAACAUCAGUCUUGAUCAGAGGAAAAAGGCUGGGGGAAGGUGGCAGCAUUUAUGCUGUGUUAUAGCCCCUUGCUGUAUACUUUGGUUGGGACUGAGGACUGCAGCACGCCUUCUGGCUGGGGUUCGCCCACAUACGUGCUUAGGAUGUUGGCAUAAUGGCUCUAAGCGACCCGUCUUGAAACACGG